rnacentral:rRNA from 1 species
CUCCAAUAGCGUAUAUUAAAGUUGUUGCGGUUAAAAAGCUCGUAGUUGGAUCUCGGUUUCGGGCGGAUGGUGCACCUCGCGGUGUUUACUGUCUACCGGACGAUUGUUAGUUCGUUCGUGGUUCUCUUAACCGAGUGCCACGGGUGGCUGACACGUUUACUUUGAAAAAAUUGGAGUGCUCAAGCAGGCGCUACAGCCUG